GGGACACGUGGUAUCCUGUCUGAAUAUGGGGGGACCAUCCUCCAAGGCUAAAUACUCCUGACUGACCGAUAGUGAACCAGUACCGUGAGGGAAAGGCGAAAAGAACCCCGGCGAGGGGAGUGAAAAAGAACCUGAAACCGUGUACGUACAAGCAGUGGGAGCACGCUUCGGCGUGUGACUGCGUACCUUUUGUAUAAUGGGUCAGCGACUUAUAUUCUGUAGCAAGGUUAACCGAAUAGGGGAGCCGAAGGGAAACCGAGUCUUAACUGGGCGUUAAGUUGCAGGGUAUAGACCCGAAACCCGGUGAUCUAGCCAUGGGCAGGUUGAAGGUUGGGUAACACUAACUGGAGGACCGAACCGACUAAUGUUGAAAAAUUAGCGGAUGACUUGUGGCUGGGGGUGAAAGGCCAAUCAAACCGGGAGAUAGCUGGUUCUCCCCGAAAGCUAUUUAGGUAGCGCCUCGUGAAUUCAUCUCCGGGGGUAGAGCACUGUUUCGGCAAGGGGGUCAUCCCGACUUACCAACCCGAUGCAAACUGCGAAUACCGGAGAAUGUUAUCACGGGAGACACACGGCGGGUGCUAACGUCCGUCGUGAAGAGGGAAACAACCCAGACCGCCAGCUAAGGUCCCAAAGUCAUGGUUAAGUGGGAAACGAUGUGGGAAGGCCCAGACAGCCAGGAUGUUGGCUUAGAAGCAGCCAUCAUUUAAAGAAAGCGUAAUAGCUCACUGGUCGAGUCGGCCUGCGCGGAAGAUGUAACGGGGCUAAACCAUGCACCGAAGCUGCGGCAGCGACGCUUAUGCGUUGUUGGGUAGGGGAGCGUUCUGUAAGCCUGCGAAGGUGUGCUGUGAGGCAUGCUGGAGGUAUCAGAAGUGCGAAUGCUGACAUAAGUAACGAUAAAGCGGGUGAAAAGCCCGCUCGCCGGAAGACCAAGGGUUCCUGUCCAACGUUAAUCGGGGCAGGGUGAGUCGACCCCUAAGGCGAGGCCGAAAGGCGUAGUCGAUGGGAAACAGGUUAAUAUUCCUGUACUUGGUGUUACUGCGAAGGGGGGACGGAGAAGGCUAUGUUGGCCGGGCGACGGUUGUCCCGGUUUAAGCGUGUAGGCUGGUUUUCCAGGCAAAUCCGGAAAAUCAAGGCUGAGGCGUGAUGACGAGGCACUACGGUGCUGAAGCAACAAAUGCCCUGCUUCCAGGAAAAGCCUCUAAGCAUCAGGUAACAUCAAAUCGUACCCCAAACCGACACAGGUGGUCAGGUAGAGAAUACCAAGGCGCUUGAGAGAACUCGGGUGAAGGAACUAGGCAAAAUGGUGCCGUAACUUCGGGAGAA
rnacentral:rRNA from 1 species